CGCUGUCGCGCAGUGAGUCCGAGUGAGGCUUGGUGUCUUUGGAGAAUGUGCCGCUUGAUGGUGCUCAGCUUGAGGGUGGCCAGACCGCUGCCGCACACCAUGCACACCAGGCCGUGUCGCACGCCAUCGUAAUCCAUCAGUUGCUCUGCCCAAUUUUCAGUUGAAAGAACAGAGAAACUACAUUCGGAGAUGCUGAAAAAGUAAUUCUAAAGCCCAAAAACAAGAAGAAACACCCUGGGUCCAACCAAGCAACCACUGAACUCUAGACUGAUCAUCAGUGUGCAGAUAACAUCAGGACAUCAUCAAAGAAAGGAAAAGGAUUGUGAAACCAACUAUUUGGUCUUGUGAUUUGGACUGGUGAUACAGAACUGUGUUCUGCUGAUUAUUUUAUUUCCUUCACUCCAUUUGUGUUUGACUUUUUUUGUGUGCGUAUGUGAAUUUUUAAGAGGGCUAAAACUUAAGGUACAAAUGUUAGAAUGCUUUCACUGUUCUUGUUAAAGUUAAGAUUAUUAAAACUGGUGGAAAUUUUAUUUUGUUACUGAGAAAA